rnacentral:ribozyme from 10 species
AUUCUUGCUUCGUCUUCAAUUUCUUCUGGUUCUUCAUUUUGCUCUCCGCUUUCGUCCUUGACUUCAAACAGGAUAAAGCCAGAAUCGAGGUCUCUUACUCUGAAGUUCACGAAUUUAAUAUCAAAGACAUUGUCCUUUAUUUU